rnacentral:rRNA from 1 species
AGCGAACGCUGGCGGCAGGCCUAACACAUGCAAGUCGAACGAAGCCUUCGGGCUUAGUGGCGGACGGGUGAGUAACACGUGGGAACGUACCUUUUGGUUCGGAAUAACGUAGAGAAAUUUGUGCUAAUACCGAAUGAGCCCUCAGGGGGAAAGUUCUAGCGCCGAAAGAUCGGCCCGCGUUGGGUUAGGUAAUUGGUUUGGUAAAGGCGCACCAAGCCUACGAUCCAUAACUGGUCUGAAAGGAUGAUCGGCCACACUGGGACUGGGACACGGGCCAGACUCCUACGGGAGGCAGCAGUGGGGAAUCUUGCGCAAUGGGCGAAAGCCUGACGCAGCCAUGCCGCGUGAGUGAUGAAGGCCUUAGGGUUGUAAAGCUCUUUCACCGGAGAAGAUAAUGACGGUAUCCGGAGAAGAAGCCCCGGCUAACUUCGUGCCAGCAGCCGCAGUAACAC